rnacentral:tRNA from 1 species
GGGCGAUUAGCUCAGUUGGUUAGAGCACUUCCCUUACACGGAAGGGGUCCGAGGUUCGAGCCCUCGAUCGCCCA